GAUGAAGAACGCAGCGAAAUGCGAUACGUAAUGUGAAUUGCAGAAUUCAGUGAAUCAUCGAGUCUUUGAACGCACAUUGCGCCCCCUGGUAUUCCGGGGGGCAUGCCUGUCCGAGCGUCAUUGCUGCCCUCAAGCACGGCUUGUGUGUUGGGCCUCCGUCCUCCUCCCGGGGGACGGGCCCGAAAGGCAGCGGCGGCACCGCGUCCGGUCCUCGAGCGUAUGGGGCUUCGUCACCCGCUCUUGUAGGCCCGGCCGGCGCUUGCCGACACAUCAAUCUUUUUUCCAGGUUGACCUCGGAUCAGGUAGGGAUACCCGCUGAACUUAAGCAUAUCAAUAACGAGGA
rnacentral:misc_RNA from 1 species